rnacentral:rRNA from 1 species
UUAUUAUGAGAGUUUGAUCCUGGCUCAGGACGAACGCUGGCGGCGUGCCUAAUACAUGCAAGUCGAACGCUUCUUUCCUCCCGAGUGCUUGCACUCAAUUGGAAAGAGGAGUGGCGGACGGGUGAGUAACACGUGGGUAACCUACCCAUCAGAGGGGGAUAACACUUGGAAACAGGUGCUAAUACCGCAUAACAGUUUAUGCCGCAUGGCAUAAGAGUGAAAGGCGCUUUCGGGUGUCGCUGAUGGAUGGACCCGCGGUGCAUUAGCUAGUUGGUGAGGUAACGGCUCACCAAGGCCACGAUGCAUAGCCGACCUGAGAGGGUGAUCGGCCACACUGGGACUGAGACACGGCCCAGACUCCUACGGGAGGCAGCAGUAGGGAAUCUUCGGCAAUGGACGAAAGUCUGACCGAGCAACGCCGCGUGAGUGAAGAAGGUUUUCGGAUCGUAAAACUCUGUUGUUAGAGAAGAACAAGGACGUUAGUAACUGAACGUCCCCUGACGGUAUCUAACCAGAAAGCCACGGCUAACUACGUGCCAGCA